rnacentral:rRNA from 1 species
CCCUUAGAUGUUCUGGGCUGCACGCGUGUUACAAUCGGGAGUCCAACAAGAUUGCAAAUCCUAGUGGAUGAGUGGUUCUUCGAAAUUUUCUGAAGACUGGGAUAGUUGAUUGAAAUUAUUCAACUCAAACGAGGAAUUCCUUGUAAUUGUAAUUCAUUAUAUUGUAAUGAAUACGUCCCUGCCCUUUGUACACACCGCCCGUCGCUCCUACCGAUUGAACGAUCCGGUGAAUUAUUUGGAGUAGCUCUGGAAGUUGCAGAACUUCCUAUGUCACGAAAUUUUGUAAACCUUAUCGUUUAGAGGAAGGAAAAGUCGUAACA